GAAAACAGUCCAUGAGAAGGCAUGGUGGCACACACAAGCAUCACACGUCUGGGAAGUACAGCUUUCAUGUGGCUGCAGUACACUUGGCAAUAUUUGGCGAGAAAAGGAGGAUUCUAAUCCCCAAGGGCCCUUUUUAUCCAGGUCAUUUCAGUGGCAGCGGAGGAGGUAGAUUGGAGAGGAGAGCCUGACUGGAAGAGAAAGACCCCUGAGAAGGUAGUAGGAAUCCCAUUGAGAAGGGACAGGAACCUGGACAAGGGAAUAGCAUUUCAAGGUUCAGUGGAGGAGAACCCCAAGAGCACCAAAAUGGAAAGAUGAUUUGUAAAGCUGAGGAAAAUGUCCAGCUGUGUUUUUAUGAGGACUCUCACUGCACUGAUAUGACAGAUGACACCUUCCCUCAACACUGUUCAUCAUUGACUGCUGAGGGCUCCUUCUUCAGUUUAUAACAGGAUGGUAACUUCAUAAGCAAUGUAGGACUUUCACAGGGUUCCACACGAAGCGUGUCUGGAUAAUUCAGCCAAGCUCUUCAGUCUCCAGCAGUGAUGGAAUCAGGAGCUCGCUUGGCCAGCCCUCUAAUGACUCAGUCACAGGGUCAUCCACUUGGGGGUGUGAGGAGAGGAGGCUUCUCCCCGCAAGUGCUUUCGGGGUGAUGCCGUAGAUUCUUUGUACCUCAGGAGUUACUUUUGCAAUUAGAGGUUCUCUCUCUCUCUUGGUAUUUUAUGCAUCUAAUUCUGCUUUUCUAUGCAUGAGUCUUGUCGGAUUCAGGCACAGCAAUAAGUCUCCAAAAUAGGGUCAGAGUGAGUUUAAUGAAGAAGUUAUUGUUUUCUUAAGGAUGAAAAUAAACAGAGAGAAUGCCUUAUUACAUAAUCAAUAACGUCGGCCUCUUGAUUAAAACACAAAUGCAAUUUAGCCCGAAAUUAUUCUCUAGUUUGAUGUUCUACAAAAUUAGAUUACGAUAAUAAAUGAUUGGACCUCUUAAGCACAGGCAGGUGUCCACACGCUGAUAGCCUCUGGAGGAGCAGGCUUCCCAAUCCGGAUUUCCUACGGAUGAAAGUUUAGGAAGAUGUAGUACUGAUCCCAACAUCUCACUCAUAGUUUCUGCAAUUAUUAAAGGCUAAAAGACAACACACAUAAUGGAAAAGCUUAGACUUUUGGAAUCGGAGGCUGGAUUUAGAUACUAGUUUCUCUGCUUAAUCAGCUGUGCAAAUUUUGUUUCAAGUUACUUAAUCUUUCUGAGCCUGUU
rnacentral:lncRNA from 1 species